rnacentral:lncRNA from 1 species
CUCGUCGUCAUUGCAUUACUAUAAUUAACUAUAUUGUUUGGUGCAUUCAAAAUAACAAGUGAAUCUUCUACACAUGUUAUUAAUCGGACGUACUACUUUCAAAUUUAUUGUAUAUUUAUUACACAAUACUAAACAACACUUAAAACGUAGAGCAACAAAUAAGAGUUUAUUUUUACUUUAAUACUAUUAUUUGCUAUAUAGAUCUCCCUUCCCGAACGUGCUAUUGGUGUCCAUCUCCCGGACUAGGGCCAGAACUAUCUAUUCUGCCUGAAUUUUUUUUCGAGCCAUUAAAACUGUUUCUUAUUUCCUGGCUUGGCUCGGAAAUCUCCACUGGCUCCAAAGCCAGCUGCUUCUCAUUCCAGCUCGGUGUCUUUUGCAGUGGCCGGCUGGCUUCAGCUGUGUAAAAACCCUGGCUCAGUAAUAUCACAGAGAAAAUAAGAAAAAAGAUAGCGAAAAAUUGGUACAAUUUAGCCAUAUCAAUGUGUUGUGAUUGAAACCAAU